UACGUAGGGUCCGAGCGUUAUCCGGAUUUACUGGGCGUAAAGCGUGUGCAGGCGGUUCGGCAAGUUGGAUGUGAAAUCUCCCGGCUCAACUGGGAGGCGUCGUUCAAAACUACCAAACUUGAGGGCAUCAGAGGAAGGUGGAAUUCCGGGUGUAGUGGUGAAAUGCGUAGAUAUCCGGAGGAACACCAGUGGCGAAGGCGGCCUUCUGGGAUGCUCCUGACGCUCAGACACGAAAGCUAGGGGAGCGAACGGG
rnacentral:rRNA from 1 species